UACGGAGGGUGCAAGCGUUGUCCGGAAUUAUUGGGCGUAAAGAGCUCGUAGGCGGUCUGUUGCGUCGGCUGUGAAAACCCGGGGCUCAACCCCGGGCCUGCAGCCGAUACGGGCAGACUAGAGUUCGGCAGGGGAGACUGGAAUUCCUGGUGUAGCGGUGAAAUGCGCAGAUAUCAGGAGGAACACCGGUGGCGAAGGCGGGUCUCUGGGCCGAUACUGACGCUGAGGAGCGAAAGCGUGGGGAGCGAACAGG
rnacentral:rRNA from 1 species